rnacentral:rRNA from 1 species
CCCUUAGAUGUCCUGGGCCGCACGCGCGCUACACUGACAUGUUCAACAAGCCUCCUAGUUCGACAGGAUUUGGGAAAUCUUUGAACGCAUGUCAUGAUAGGGAUAGAUCAUUGCAAUUAUUGAUCUUGAACGAGGAAUUCCUAGUAAACGCGAGUCAUCAGCUCGCAUUGAUUACGUCCCUGCCCUUUGUACACACCGCCCGUCGCACCUACCGAUUGAAUGUUUCGGUGAAGAUUCCGGAUAGGACUUUUUUGAUUUAUUUCAAUUUUGUCUUAAAAGCUAUCUAAACCUCAACAUUUAGAGGAAGGUGAAGUCGUAACA